AAGAGUGCGGUGAUGAUAUCUUUUGUGGACUAGAGUUUAUGAUCUGGGCUCUUCUCCCAGGACUUGAUUACAACCCCUUGGCUGUCUGAGCACCCUU